CUUCCCUCACGGCUCAGGCGGAGACUGAGGGCGGCGGCGGCAACGGCUUCCUCCGGCGGCGGCAGCUCCCGGCUCCUCACGGGCCCUUCCGCCGCCUCCCGAUCAUGCGCAGUGCGGCGCAUCCCCCGCACCGGGAGCCGACGCUGCGCGGCCGCGGCACAAAGGGAGGGAGUCCGCACCGCGGGGAGGCUUUGCGCGGCAGCUCUGGCUCGCUCCUGGCCCCGUCCGUGUUUCCUGCGGGAGCGGUUGGCGCUAGUCAGCACGGCGUUUGUGGCUGCGGCGCGAAUGACGGGCUGGUCGUCGUACGCAGCUGAGGGGUGUUCCGCGGUUUCUGUCGAGGGCACAGCCACAGCGCAUGAACGUCAAAAGAUGUGGGGAAAAGCCCGUGGGGUUUUGAGGAUGGAUGUGGAAAGGAUGCAGAAGACAUUUGCUGAGCAGCCACGGAGACUUGGGGAAGGUGAAGUCACAUACUAGCACCUUUAGAGGCAUUUUCCUGCGGGACCCUCUCCAUACUUGAAAGAGCCUCCUGCUGGAGAUUGUAAUCCCCUUUGAGCAGCUGUUGCUUCCAGGGGGCUGUUGACUAAUGCAGCUUUUUCUGCAGUAGCAUAGACGUACUAAUAAAAGAGGUUGUAAGCAUUAAAUCACAGUUUGUACCAAUAUCCGAGACAGAUGAUUUUUCCCUAGAAAGCUUACUUUGCCUACUGCAGAUUUCUGGCAGCUGAGGAGGUUUGGGAAAGCAGAGUAUUUGCUGAUAAAACUCUCAGUGGUGGCAGACUGCUGGUUGCAAAGGACUAAGGUUUGAGAUCUCAUUCUUGUUCUCAUCUCCUGCUGAGCUGGGAGCUAUUAAAAUAAGCUUCUGUAUUUGUAUUACAUGACUGAUAUGAUGGCACACACACAAAAGAAAUAAAGACUUUAGAAAACCAUUCUCCAUGAUUGAUGUCCAGGGUUUAUGUUUUCUAAGGAAAAGGGCCUGAAUUGUUCCUCACUUAUUUCACUGAAAAGCAGACCUAAGCUUAGAUGGGAGUGUGAGGAGUUAAAAGUGCUGUUUGGAGAGGAGAAUGAGGCCUGACCUGUGGAGUGUCCAGUUUUGCUGGUGUUCUGAAAUGGUAAAUUUAAGAGUUGUCUUCAUAUUAAGUACAUGGUAAUAUGUGUGAUUUCAGCUAUCCUGAGAGACGCUAGUUGCCUAGAUACCUUGAAUCCUACUGAAAAGCGUGAUUUUGGAAUCAAGGAUGGCUGCAAAAUGGCCAGCAUAAAGAGCCAUGAACACUGCACACCAGCCCAGUCCACAUGAACCAGGGCACAGGAGGCAAAGCCAAACCUGAAAAUCUAUUUCACUGAGUUAGCUAAUUGCCAUCACUAUAGUGUGCUGUACAGACCUCCUACAAUCUGAAGAAACAAUUUAGACCUGCAGAAUUACUGUGACAUGUAACAAUAAUCUGGAUUCCUCAGGACAGAGACAGGAUUUAUAAGUGGCUUUUUUUUUCCUAGUAUCUGUGAAUCUCCCUAGUUUUCUUUAGUGCAAGAACUGCUGGGUUUUUUUCUUUGAGUGUGUGUCUGGGGACACACUGUGCUUACUUUUUUAACAAGUUGUACAUAAGGUUAUUUUAACUUCAAAGAAUGUUGAAAAGGUCUUUCAUUUUACUUCUUUUGCUCACUGCAUAAUGUACUAAGCAUAUUUUGAAUGUUUUCUUGUUUAGGACCUAAUUAAAAACAUAUACCUGAUUUUAUGCAUUCAAUGUAUGUUUAAAAACAUUGCUUGAAAAAUUCACCAUUGCUACAACUUUCAGUUCAAUCUAUUAUUUUCAUUGUCAGCCUGGGUUACUAAUUAGUAGUAUUUAAAUUAGCUGCAAGUCUGGUGGAAUUUAUUCUCAAUACUUUAAUAUUCAGAAAUUGUUCCUGCUGUACCAUCUUUUUUUUCUGGGAGUCAGGAUAUCUGAAGUCUGCUUCCAACUUUGACUGACUUGUGAUUUGAUCUCUCCAACUUACUAAAUUAUUCCACAUUAUGAAUUCCCAUUGUAUAAAAUGUAGAAAAUCAUAUUUAACUGCUUUGCAGAAGCUUCUUAUUAGGGCAGAUAAAAGCUGAUGAUUCAGUAAAAUGCAAAUCAAAUAAAAUGUGUGAAAUGCAGAUUAAUGCUAUUCCUAUUGUACAUGCUGUUUUGUUGUUGGCUUGGGUUUUUGGUUUUU
rnacentral:lncRNA from 1 species